rnacentral:rRNA from 1 species
CUAAUUCGCUGACGAGCGGCGGACGGGUGAGUAAUGCCUGGGAAUAUGCCUUAGUGUGGGGGAUAACUAUUGGAAACGAUAGCUAAUACCGCAUAACGUCUUCGGACCAAAGAGGGGGACCUUCGGGCCUCUCGCGCUAAGAUUAGCCCAGGUGAGAUUAGCUAGUUGGUGAGGUAAAGGCUCACCAAGGCAACGAUCCCUAGCUGGUCUGAGAGGAUGAUCAGCCACACUGGAACUGAGACACGGUCCAGACUCCUACGGGAGGCAGCAGUGGGGAAUAUUGCACAAUGGGGGAAACCCUGAUGCAGCCAUGCCGCGUGUAUGAAGAAGGCCUUCGGGUUGUAAAGUACUUUCAGUCGUGAGGAAGGGUAUGUAGUUAAUAGCUGCAUGCCUUGACGUUAGCGACAGAAGAAGCACCGGCUAACUCCGUGCCAGCAGCCGCGGUAAUACGGAGGGUGCGAGCGUUAAUCGGAAUUACUGGGCGUAAAGCGCAUGCAGGCGGUCUGUUAAGCAAGAUGUGAAAGCCCGGGGCUCAACCUCGGAACCGCAUUUUGAACUGGCAGACUAGAGUCUUGUAGAGGGGGGUAGAAUUUCAGGUGUAGCGGUGAAAUGCGUAGAGAUCUGAAGGAAUACCGGUGGCGAAGGCGGCC